GACCCAGUGGCGCAACGGUAACGCGCGUGACUACGAAUCACGAGAUUGUGGGUUCGAUUCCCAUCUGGGUUA